UACGGGGGGGGCAAGCGUUGUUCGGAAUUACUGGGCGUAAAGCGUGCGCAGGCGGUUUGCUAAGAGAGAUGUGAAAUCCCCGGGCUUAACCUGGGAACUGCGUUUCUAACUGGCAGGCUAGAGUGUGGCAGAGGGGGGUGGAAUUCCACGUGUAGCAGUGAAAUGCGUAGAGAUGUGGAGGAACACCGAUGGCGAAGGCAGCCCCCUGGGCUAACACUGACGCUCAUGCACGAAAGCGUGGGGAGCAAACAGG
rnacentral:rRNA from 1 species